UAACACAUGCAAGUCGAGCGGGCGUAGCAAUACGUCAGCGGCAGACGGGUGAGUAACGCGUGGGAACGUACCUUUUGGUUCGGAACAACACAGGGAAACUUGUGCUAAUACCGGAUAAGCCCUUACGGGGAAAGAUUUAUCGCCGAAAGAUCGGCCCGCGUCUGAUUAGCUAGUUGGUGAGGUAAUGGCUCACCAAGGCGACGAUCAGUAGCUGGUCUGAGAGGAUGAUCAGCCACAUUGGGACUGAGACACGGCCCAAACUCCUACGGGAGGCAGCAGUGGGGAAUAUUGGACAAUGGGCGCAAGCCUGAUCCAGCCAUGCCGCGUGAGUGAUGAAGGCCCUAGGGUUGUAAAGCUCUUUUGUGCGGGAAGAUAAUGACGGUACCGCAAGAAUAAGCCCCGGCUAACUUCGUGCCAGCAGCCGCGGUAAUACGAAGGGGGCUAGCGUUGCUCGGAAUCACUGGGCGUAAAGGGUGCGUAGGCGGGUCUUUAAGUCAGGGGUGAAAUCCUGGAGCUCAACUCCAGAACUGCCUUUGAUACUGAAGAUCUUGAGUUC
rnacentral:rRNA from 1 species